rnacentral:rRNA from 1 species
UACGUAGGGUCCGAGCGUUGUUCGGAAUUAUUGGGCGUAAAGAGCUCGUAGGCGGUCUGUCGCGUCGGAUGUGAAAACCCGGGGCUUAACCCCGGGCCUGCAUUCGAUACGGGCAGACUCGAGUGUGGUAGGGGAGACUGGAACUCCUGGUGUAGCGGUGAAAUGCGCAGAUAUCAGGAAGAACACCGGUGGCGAAGGCGGGUCUCUGGGCCACUACUGACGCUGAGGAGCGAAAGCGUGGGGAGCGAACAGG